GACGAACGCUGGCGGCGUGCCUAAUACAUGCAAGUCGAACGCUGAAGAGAGGAGCUUGCUCUUCUUGGAUGAGUUGCGAACGGGUGAGUAACGCGUAGGUAACCUGCCUUGUAGCGGGGGAUAACUAUUGGAAACGAUAGCUAAUACCGCAUAACAAUGGAUGACACAUGUCAUUUAUUUGAAAGGGGCAAUUGUUCCACUACAAGAUGGACCUGCGUUGUAUUAGCUAGUAGGUGAGGUAAUGGCUCACCUAGGCGACGAUACAUAGCCGACCUGAGAGGGUGAUCGGCCACACUGGGACUGAGACACGGCCCAGACUCCUACGGGAGGCAGCAGUAGGGAAUCUUCGGCAAUGGGGGCAACCCUGACCGAGCAACGCCGCGUGAGUGAAGAAGGGUUUCGGAUCGUAAAGCUCUGUUGUAAGUCAAGAACGGGCGUGAGAGUGGAAAGUUCACACUGUGACGGUAGCUGACCAGAAAGGGACGGCUAACUACGUG
rnacentral:rRNA from 1 species